rnacentral:lncRNA from 1 species
UUUUUUUUUUUUUUUUUUUUUUUGGUGGUCACAUAUGUGCAGGAGGCCAUGGACAGCAGAUGAGGGUGUCCGGUCCUCUAGAACUGAAGUCACAGAUGAUUGUAAGUCACCAUGUGGGUGCUAGAUACUGAAGCUAGGUCCUUUGCAAGAGCAAAAAGUGCUCUUAAGUACUGAGCCGUCGCUCUAGACCCCACCUUGCUUUUUGAGUUGAGGACUUGCUGACUAGGUGAAGCAGGCUGGUCGGUGGAGCCUCAGGGAUGUGCCAGUGCUGAGAUUAAAAGCACACAGCACCUUGCCUGGCUCUUUACAUGGACUCUGGGGAAUCAAACACUGGUCCUGAGGCUUGUAUGGCAAAUACUUUACCUUUAACAGUGCAUGAAGCUGUGGGGCACCUUUCAGACCAGAGGAAGGUCCGGGAGCAGGCUGAUCCGUUCCUAGCAUUUAUUUUUUUCUUCUUCUGGUAAUCUUUUGUCCUUAUCCCUACUCCUGUUCAGCAUCAGACACAGAAUGACGCCUCACAGACUGGGCCAGAGAUCCAUUUUGUAUUCCUCAAGGAUUUUCUGGGUUAAAAAAAAAAAUGGACUAAUAUGAAAACACUGGACAAAUUGCUCCUGAGUAAUUCAGUUUGGGGGGGUGUGUGGAAGCAGGGGAAACUAUGAAGGUAUGAAGGACACCCCCACAUUCCCACAGAUGUGCGGUGCUGUGUGCAUGGAAGCACCCUUCACGCAAAGCAUGAGAUCGCCACUUUGCCAAAGGCACUCCCCCAAGUUACCAUUUAUAAUAGCUCUCCUUGGUAGCUCCCCUCAAGCUAGACAGGCUAGUCUCUGUCCAACACUGGAGGUGUUUCCACAGAACAGUGUCCCCAGUACAGAGGGGACACCUUGGCAGAUGGGAAGCCAUGUCCCUGUGAAUUUGAUAUUCAAGCGUUGUGUGUUGGCUCCCUGGCUGUUUCUGUCUGGUCCCUGCAGGCGUUUAUCUUUUUGACCCCGGCUCCUGCUAAGAUUCAGGGCGGGGCUUCUGAAGGAGCUGGUUUGUGAGCACCUUGGAGAGUCUGCACUCCCAGAUGCAGGCAGCCAGCCCUGCCCCUGUGGGAUGCUCUAGAUUGGAGUCUGUUUCAUCCUUAAUGAAUGAACUGUGCAGCUCCCAGCAGGGGAGGCUUUUACCCAGCGGUUCUCCACUUAAAAUCACGCUCUCCUUCUCUCUCCCAGACAACGCCUUUGCUCUCAGGAAUUUAGCCUGUGGCUUUGGGGGCGACAGACACAGGUCUUGCCUUGGUGGGGGACAGUGAUCUCCCCAUCUUGAGCUCUGUUCUUCCUUUCAUAAAACGUCUGCACCCUCUGCCUUCCAUGAACGCAAUGGAUGUGUUUGGUAAAAACAAGAGCCACAUAGAAACAUCUAGAAAACAGUGACAUGGAGAUGCCUGGCUAGGCCCCUUCAUAUACCCCCUCCCCCACGCCCUCGGAGACUUUUCCUCGUUUGUCCUGCUUGGGGUGGAAGAUCAGCCUGGGUUGGGUAAGGCCUUCCUACUCCACAUAUUGAAACAAAACAAACAAACAAACAAACAACAGCUGUCUGUCUGUCUCUGUCUCUUUUUCUCUGACUUUCUCUCUCUCUGUGCCUUUCUCUGACUCUGUGUCUGUCUCUUUCUCUGUCUCUCUCUGACUCUGUCUCUCUGUCUCCUUUUCUAACUUUCUGUCUCUGUCUCUCUUUCUCUCUCUGUGUGACAUCUAUGCUUUCUUUCAAUAUCCUGGGAAUUUGGGAGUCUUUCUUAGCAUCAGAGUGACCCAGGGCUCCCUGUUUGAACCCCAACUACUCCAUUGUUAGUGGCAAGGUAAGGUGUCAGGCUUACACAUUCUGUAAUGUGAUGGCUGUCAUAUUCUGUCAUUUCUGACUGUCACUGAGUUUGAAAAUGAAUAUCAAUGGUGCUGGAGAUUAGUACUUUACUUACAAAGGCCCCUUGUGUGGAGAAAGACUUGGUCCCCAGCUUGUGGCUAGUGUCAGGCACCUUCAGCAGGUGGGGCUUAGUGCGAAGAGGUUAGACCAUUGGCUGCAGAGCCUGGAGGAAGUCAGGUCAUUGGAAGGUGGGGGUGGAAGGCUGUGGGGGGAGGGGGGACCAAAUGGGAGGAAGUCAGGUCAUAGAGGGCAGGUGGGGGUGGGGGGCAGGAAGUCAGGUCAUUGGGGGUGGGACCUAAUGGGAGGAAGGCAGGUUAUUGGGGGCAAAUCCUUGAAAGGACUAACAGAUUUAAGUUUUCAAGAGAAGCCAGGCAUCAGGGUGGGGCUAUGGCUUAUCAGGAGAGCGCUCUCCUGGCAUGCACAAAACCCUGGGUUCUAUUCUCAGCACUGCUUAAACCAGGUAUGGAAUCGAAGGCAGGAGGACCAGGAGUUCAAGGUUAUCCUCAGCCGUGUAGCAAAUUGGAGGCCAGCCUGGGCUACCUGCCUCAAAAGCAAAACAAACAAUCCAAUAACAGAAGUUGUUUCUUGGGAGUUUGGUGGCAACAGGAGAGAGUAGAGGAAGGGAAAGAUCAUUCUAGACUCUUCUAUUUUUUAAAGUUUUACACGUGGAAACAUUUCAUUUAUUCAACACACUUAAACCUUUAAAAUUAACACUUUAAACAUUAAGUUGAGAAGAGAAGUAAAAGAGGCUCAGAGAGAGCAAGAAUUUUCUGGGCAUCAUACAGCAGUGGGGAGGUAAGAUCAGCGUCCCUCCUGCAUCUCGCGGAGCUGUUUAUUUUGUCACCUUGGCAAUCUUCCUACACUGCCGCUGCCGCUGGGGGCUUUGCUUAGAAGAGACUAUUCCGAGCUCUCCCUACCUUUUUAACUAGUGAGCUGGUAUGCUUCACCAGCUGAUGGAAUUAAUUGGGUUCUCUGUGGCCCUGCAGUCCUCCCCCUCCUAUGUUUCAGUGGCCUCAGCCUGGAAGCCAGACGUGCUUUCUGCAGGACCCCGGGUUUCGAGAUCUACCUCUGAGUCUAUUUGCUGUUCCUUGGCGGCUCCCCCAGGUUGGCGCCACCACUUAGUGUUUCUAAGCUUGGCAGCUGCCUCAGGCCAGGUGCAGCUACCCAGUGCCUCGGACAGAAUUCCAGUAACUUCCAGGUCUCUUCAUGGCCUCACCUUCCUUCACCGGUGCCAGAAAAAAAUAAUGAUUUUUUGGCUACAGCAAGCAGGAUGACAAACUCGGGGCCUUUGUGGAGCCGGGCAGGCGGCCUUUCUAGUUGCCUGGCGCAGAUGUAUUUAAAUGACAUUUUAUUUUUUUCUUG